GAGGCUGUGGCUCAGUGGUAGAGCGCUCACCUAGCAUGUGUGAGGCACUGAGUUCCACCCUUAGCACUACA
rnacentral:tRNA from 1 species